rnacentral:lncRNA from 1 species
UGGGGCUGUAGGAGGGCGGCAGUAGGGGACGGGGGGAGAUUGGUGUGGGCUAUGGUGCGAGCUGCAGAGAUCAGGAGGGAACACGGCUCACGUAAGGAGCUGAGGAUACGGGGGACACGCCGGGGGUGCACCUAAACAGGGUCUGAUGGCUGCGGAGGACAGGGAUGUGGGGUGAGAGUGAAAAUCAGCAUGCAGCAGGGGAUGCAGAGCCAGGCUGCCGGGCAGAGGAUGUGGGGAAGGUAAGGAUGCGGGAUCAGGCAGUGUGGGUGGUUGCAGGGAGUCGGGGCACGGUGAGGAGGAAGGUGGACGGCUGUGGUUGUGUGCGGAGGUGGCCGGGGGUGGGUGUUGACUGAGGGAGAAAAGAGGGGGCAGCUGAGGUGUGAGCAAAGAGGUUUCCAUCACCCACUGAUUGCCGUGCUGACAUCCCCCAGCUUGCAAAGCCUCAGCCCCCAGCCCCAGAGCACUCUGCCAGGGGCUUACGCAGCACCGAGGAGCCCGCUCAGGUCAUGCUGCCCUGCGAAAGGGAGCGGACAGGAUGGGAGUUAACACGUGGUGACGACCUAGUCCUGCUUGGAGCUGGCGGAUGCCUCCCUUGGACAAGUGUCCUGCUGAACACGUGGCAGCACGUAGGUGCCCUGGUCAUGGCCAUUGUGCUUCAGCAGACGUGGUCCCUGCCCUUUGCCAGGACCCAUGUGGCUUCCUGCAGCCAUCCUGCGAGCUUUGUAAGCACAAACAGUGGGAAAUUUCCCAUCGGUUCCAGUUGGCACCGGGGUCUGGGACAGAGCCACCAGUCUGUGCGGUCACACAACGGCCGCAGUCCCCGCUCCCUGGGCUGCCACCCACGGGACCAGCGAGGGGACAGGGAGGGCGCCUGCCCUUGUGUCCCUGUGUGGGGUGGCACUUCUUUUGUCACCCCGGGGUAACCACCACCGCAAGGUCAACUCUGGAGUGUGCACGGUGCUGAACUCCACAAAUUCUCCUCGCCAUAAAACUUGCAUGCGUGGUGCUGGCUGCACUUUCCCCUCGGGAGCGGCGGCACACAGCGGUGGUUACCCCGAGGUGGAAAGACACGGCGUUUGACGAAGCGAAGCCAGCCCGGAGGAAUUUUCCCCUUGUGGCCAGCUGUUGUCCUGGGCCUGGCUUGCGUCCUGCAGCACUUCCCACCCCACACGUCCUCGGGGAGGGGACCGGGGCCGGCCCACCCUCCGUCCUCCCUUCGCCGGGUGAGUGGGUGCCACGGUGGGCUCGCAGGGGUGAGUAGCUGUGGUGCAGCCCGACAGCAUCCUGCUGCCUCUGCAGGGAUCCUCUUGGGCAGCGGAGAGUUUUCCCCACCCCCAGCUCUGCUGCCGCUGCCUCUUUGUUUUCUGGCAGAAGC